UGGAGGCAGCCGACUCAGGGCAGCUCUUUGUGAUGUCCCCGGAGCCGGCAGAAGGGCAGAGGGGAAGGAGGCGAGAGCUGGGAACCUCCCAUUGGGAGGUUCGCUGUGGAGGUCUCCAGGGCGCGGCGGGUGUCGGUGCCCGCGGAGCCUGGCCGGAUGGUGGGAGAGAGCGAGGGGGACGGAGCGGUGAAAUAGGCAGCAGGGUGUUACUGAUGUGCUUGCAGGGAAGCUGUGCUGCCCUGCCCAGGGUUGAGGUUUGGCUUCCCAGCUCCAGAUCAGCUCCUAUUCCUCUCACCUGUCCUGCUUCCCUGGCUACAAGCUGAUGAAGUGAAUUUCACAUGGAGAUCGUGGAUGCUGAGAUGCAACAAAUCUGAGAUGUAACCUGACAGCUCACCCAGCAGUGUGAACAAAUUGCCUGGAAAUGUCGUCAUUUGGCUUCAUCUGGCGCUAUCUCCCCUUCUGUCUGGGUCAUUGAUUUCCUCAUCUCUUCUGCCUUAAAACUCACAUCAUACAUUAAUUUGUGGCUCUCCAGUACUGAGGCAGCUGCAUUGUGCCUUCCCUGCUCAAUACCAGCAGCUUUCAGCCUCUGAAGUGUCCUUUACUACUGCUCAUAUGAAGACCUCCCGAAUGUGUCUCGAGUGGCCUCCCUGCCUGCUACAUAACAGCAUGUGCUCUGCCAGCUUUUGUUUCAUCACAAGAGAGCUUGGAGCUGUUCUGCUUUCGGAAAUUGGGUAAGAUUCGGUCUCCUUCCUACAAUGACUCAGUGUGCUGGAGGAACGACUCCUGCUUUGUACACGAGCAGCUACUGCAGAGCUCUGAGAGCUGUGCCAGCCUCUGCGAGCCAGCAGCUCCCCACCCGAGAGCCCCUCAGCCAGCAAGGAGCUGGGGCUGCUCCACGCUCUGGUCUUAUGAUUGCUAAAUAUAGACUCCAUUGAUACAUAACACAAAUGCAUGAAGGGUGCAAGAGCCAACAGUUGUUGCAGAGUCAUCUUUGCUAAUACAGUCUUUGCCUCUGUCCUUUUGCCCGUGUCCCUGUGGCCUUUCAAACACCAUCCUUUGCAUUUUGAGUAAAUAUCUCCGUGCACCAGAUUCAUACUCAGUUCUCAUUGCAAGAUAGUCCAGGAUUUGGCCUUCAAUGUGCAAUUCAGGCUGGAUGAAUGAUUCUGUAAGAGAUAAAGUCUUGUCUGGCUAUUUAGUGAUGCUGUGGUUGCUCUCUGCUUGCCCUGGUCAGAGUUUAUCCCCUGUCCUGGUCUGUUGCUAUCAUUUAAUAGCCAGGUACCACUCUGAUACUGUAUCAGACUUGUUCGCUGAGCUGAAGCCAACUCAGGCAGCUGAGCCACAGGCUUUUGCCUACUGUAGGUUUGUUUGCACAGCUAUUCCCAAGGA